GGCGGCGUGCUUAACACAUGCAAGUCGAACGAGAAGUACGUAGCAAUACGUAUUGUAAAGUGGCGCACGGGUGAGUAACACGUGGGUAAUCUGCCCUCGAGUUUGGGAUAACCCCGCGAAAGCGGGGCUAAUACCGAAUAAGACCACGGGGACCAAAGUCCCUGAGGUAAAAGAUGGCCUCUAUUUAUAAGCUAUCACUUGAGGAUGAGCCCGCGGCCCAUUAGCUAGUUGGUAGGGUAACGGCCUACCAAGGCUAUGAUGGGUAGCUGGUCUGAGAGGACGAUCAGCCACACUGGAACUGAGACACGGUCCAGACUCCUACGGGAGGCAGCAGUGGGGAAUAUUGCGCAAUGGGCGAAAGCCUGACGCAGCAACGCCGCGUGGGGGAUGAAGGUUUUCGGAUUGUAAACCCCUUUCGACCGGAACGAAUCUCCUCCUGGUAAAUAAUCAGGAGGAUCGACGGUACCGGGAGAAGAAGCCACGGCUAACUCUGUGCCAGCAGCCGCGGUAAGACAGAGGUGGCGAGCGUUGUUCGGAUUUAUUGGGCGUAAAGCGAACGCAGGUGGUUUGGUAAGUCAGGGGUGAAAGCCCACAGCUUAACUGUGGCACUGCCUUUGAUACUGCCUUUCUUGAGUGCAUGAGGGGGAAGCGGAAUUCCGAGUGUAGAGGUGAAAUUCGUAGAUAUUCGGAGGAACACCGGUGGCGAAGGCGGCUUCCUGGCAUGUAACUGACACUCAUGUUCGAAAGCGUGGGUAGCAAACAGGAUUAGAUACCCUGGUAGUCCACGCCCUAAACGAUGGGCACUAGGUGUGGGAGGUAUCGACCCCUUCCGUGCCGCAGCUAACGCAUUAAGUGCCCCGCCUGGGG
rnacentral:rRNA from 1 species